CCUACGGGUGGCAGCAGUGAGGAAUAUUGGUCAAUGGACGAGAGUCUGAACCAGCCAAGUAGCGUGAAGGAUGACUGCCCUAUGGGUUGUAAACUUCUUUUAUAAAGGAAUAAAACGAGGCACGUGUGCCUUUUUGCAUGUACUUUAUGAAUAAGGAUCGGCUAACUCCGUGCCAGCAGCCGCGGUAAUACGGAGAAUCCGAGCGUUAUCCGGAUUUAUUGGGUUUCAAGGGAGCGUAGAUGGGUUGUUAAGUCAGUUGUGAAAGUUUGCGGCUCAACCGUAAAAUUGCAAUUGAUACUGGCAGUCUUGAGUACAGGUGAGGUAGGCGGAAUUCGUGGUGUAGCGGUGAAAUGCUUAGAUAUCACGAAGAACCCCGAUUGCGAAGGCAGCUUACUAAACUGUGACUGACGUUGAUGCUCGAAGGUGUGGGUAUCGAACAGGAUUAGAUACCCGUGUAGUC
rnacentral:rRNA from 1 species